AGCACUGAUUGGACGCGGGUCCCCAAAAGGAUACCAACUUCUAUCAAACUCAGAAUGCCAUAUAGAUAUACUCAGGAGUCAGACUAUGUGAGAUAAGUUUCAUAGUCAAAAGGGAAAGAGCCCAGACCGACAGCUAAGGUCCCAAAGUGUGUGUUAAGUGGAAAAGGAUGUUAGGUUUCUAAGACAACUAGGAUGUUGGCUCAGAAGCAGCCACUCAUUUAAAGAGUGCGUAACAGCUCACUAGUCGAGAGGUCUAGCGCCGAAAAUGUCCGGGGCUAAAACACACCACCGAAGCUACGGAAUUACCUAUGGUAAUUGGUAGAGGAGCAUUCUGUAAGGAUGAAGCACAAUUGAAAGAGAGUGUGGACGAAACAGAAGAGAGAAUGCCGGAAUGAGUAGCGAGAUAUAUGUGAGAAUCAUAUAGGUCGAAUGUCUAAGGUUUCCUGGGUAAAGCUGAUCUGCUCAGGGUAAGUCGGGACCUAAGGUGAGGGCGAGAGCCGUAAUCGAUGGACAACAGGUAGAAAUUCCUGUACUACGUAUAAUCAGAACUGUGGGGACGCAGGAGGAUAGGAAAACCGGAGAAUGGAAAAAUCCGGCUAAGUACAAAGGUGUGAGUGAUAGGCAAAUCCGUCACUAUUAGCUGAAGUACGAAUGGGAGCGAAGAAAAGUAGCGAAGUUUCUGAAUCCACACUGUCAAGAAAAGCCGCUAUUGCGUUAUACGUACCCGUACCGCAAACCGACACAGGUAGACGAGGAGAAAAUCCACAGACCGACGGGAGAAGUGUUGUUAAGGAACUCGGCAAAAUGACCCCGUAACUUAGGGAUAAGGGGAGCCAACGCAAGUUGGUCACAGAAAAGAGGCUCAAGCGACUGUUUAGCAAAAACACAGGUCUAUGCGAAACCGUAAGGUGAUGUAUAUGGGCUGACGCCUGCCCGGUGCUGGAAGGUUAAGAGGAGAGGUUAGCUUCGGCGAAGCUUUGAAUCCAAGCCCCAGUAAACGGCGGCCGUAACUAUAACGGUCCUAAGGUAGCGAAAUUCCUUGUCGGGUAAGUUCCGACCUGCACGAAUGGCGUAACGACUUGGGCGCUGUCUCAACCAUGGACCCGGUGAAAUUGUAUUAUUCGUGAAGAUGCGAAUUACCUGCGGAAGGACGGAAAGACCCCGUGAACCUUUACUGCAGCUUGGCAUUGGCUGUUGGUGCGGUGCGUAGAGGAUAGGCAGGAGCCUGCGAACCGGGAACGCCAGUUCCCGGGGAGGCGCCCUUGGAAUACUGCCCUCACCGCAUCGGCAGCCUAACGCGCCGCCCUCAUCGGGGGCGCGGACCGUGCCAGGUGGGUAGUUUGACUGGGGCGGUCGCCUCCUAAACUGUAACGGAGGCGUGCGAAGGUUCGCUCAGGGCGGUUGGCAAUCGCCCGCAGAGCACAAGAGUACAAGCGAGCCUGACUGCGAGACCAACAAGUCGAGCAGAGACGAAAGUCGGUUCUAGUGAUCCGGCGGCCCAGCGUGGAAUGGCCGUCGCUCAACGGAUAAAAGGUACUCCGGGGAUAACAGGCUGAUCUUGCCCAAGAGUCCACAUCGACGGCAAGGUUUGGCACCUCGAUGUCGGCUCAUCGCAUCCUGGGGCUGGAGCAGGUCCCAAGGGUACGGCUGUUCGCCGUUUAAAGCGGUACGCGAGCUGGGUUCAGAACGUCGUGAGACAGUUCGGUCCCUAUCCUCCGUGGGCGCAAGAGAAUUGAGAGGAUCUGUCCCUAGUACGAGAGGACCGGGAUGGACGCACCUCUGGUGCCGCAGUUGUCGACCAACGGCACAGCUGCCUAGCUACGUGCGGAACGGAUAACCGCUGAAAGCAUCUAAGCGGGAAGCCGGCCUCGAGAUGAGUUCUCUCUUCGGUAAGGCCACUUGUAGACCACAAGUUCGAUAGGCCGCAGCUGCAAGCCCCGCGAGGGGCUCAGGCGAGCGGUACUAAUCGGCCGAGCUCUUCAUCUC
rnacentral:rRNA from 1 species